GCAGCAGGCGCGCAAAUUACCCACUCCCGGCACGGGGAGGUAGUGACGAAAAAUAACGAUACGGGACUCAUCCGAGGCCCCGUAAUCGGAAUGAGUAUACUCUAAAUCCUUAUACGAGUAUCAAUUGGAGGGCAAGUCUGGUGCCAGCAGCCGCGGUAAUUCCAGCUCCAAUAGCGUAUAUUAAAGUUGUUGCGGUUAAAAAGCUCGUAGUUGGAUCUGUGUCCCGCGCCGUCGGUUCACCGCCUGUCGGUGUUCAACUGGCGUGUAUGCGGGACGUCCUGCCGGUGGCGGUCCGGUUCCCCGGCGGAACGUAGGGGUCGUCCUUGCCUCGCUUGCGUCGGCUCCGAAGUCCGCCGCGGUGUUUCCGGCCGCCUUUUCGAUCCCGUCGCGGUGCUCUUCACCGAGUGUCGAGGCGGGCCGGCACGUUUACUUUGAACAAAUUAGAGUGCUUUAAGCAGGCCCUGUCCCGCCUGUAUGUUGUGUGCAUGGAAUAAUGGAAUAGGACCUCGGUUCUAUUUUGUUGGUUUUCGGAAUCUGAGGUAAUGAUCAAUGGGGACAGGCGGGGGCAUUCGUAUUGCGACGUUAGAGGUGAAAUUCUUGGAUCGUCGCAAGACGGACCGAAGCGAAAGCAUUUGCCAAGUAUGUUCUCGUCGAUCAAGAACGAAAGUUAGAGGUUCGAAGGCGAUCAGAUACCGCCCUAGUUCUAACCAUAAACUAUGCCUGCCAGCGAUCCGCCGAAGUUCCUCCGAUGACUCGGCGGGCAGCUUCCGGGAAACCAGAGCUUUUGGGUUCCGGGGGAAGUAUGGUUGCAAAGCUGAAACUUAAAGGAAUUGACGGAAGGGCACCACCAGGAGUGGAGCCUGCGGCUUAAUUUGACUCAACACGGGAAAACUCACCAGGCCCGGACACCGGAAGGAUUGACAGAUUGAGAGCUCUUUCUUGAUUCGGUGGGUGGUGGUGCAUGGCCGUUCUUAGUKGGUGGAGCGAUUUGUCUGGUUAAUUCCGAUAACGAACGAGACUCUAGCCUACUAACUAGGCGUACCCGGUAUCCACAAUCGUGCUACCGGCGAUCAAAUUUCUUCUUAGAGGGACAGGCGGCUUCUAGCCGCACGAGACUGAGCAAUAACAGGUCUGUGAUGCCCUUAGAUGUCCUGGGCCGCACGCGCGCUACACUGAAGGAAUCAGCGUGUCUUCCCUGUCCGAAAGGACCGGGUAACCCGCUGAACCUCCUUUGUGCUAGGGAUUGGGGCUUGCAAUUGUUCCCCAUGAACGAGGAAUUCCCAGUAAGCGCGAGUCAUAAGCUCGCGUUGAUUACGUCCCUGCCCUUUGUACACACCGCCCGUCGCUACUACCGAUUGAAUGAUUUAGUGAGGUCUUCGGACUGGUGCGCGGAGGCAGCUCUCGCGGUCUCCGAUGUUGCUGGAAAGAUGACCAAACUUGAUCAUUUAGAGGAAGUAAAAGUCGUAACAAGGUUUCCGUAGGUGAAC
rnacentral:rRNA from 1 species